AUUGAACGCUGGCGGUAUGCCUUACACAUGCAAGUCGAACGGUAGAGGGGCAACCCUUGAGAGUGGCGAACGGGUGAGUAAUACAUCGGAACGUGCCCAGUCGUGGGGGAUAACGUAGCGAAAGCUACGCUAAUACCGCAUACGACCUGAGGGUGAAAGCGGGGGAUCGCAAGACCUCGCGCGAUUGUAGCGGCCGAUGGCAGAUUAGGUAGUUGGUGGGGUAAAGGCCUACCAAGCCUGCGAUCUGUAGCUGGUCUGAGAGGACGACCAGCCACACUGGGACUGAGACACGGCCCAGACUCCUACGGGAGGCAGCAGUGGGGAAUUUUGGACAAUGGGCGCAAGCCUGAUCCAGCCAUACCGCGUGCGGGAAGAAGGCCUUCGGGUUGUAAACCGCUUUUGUCAGGGAAGAAAUCUUCUGGGCUAAUACCUUGGGAGGAUGACGGUGCCUGAAGAAUAAGCACCGGCUAACUACGUGCCAGCAGCCGCCGUAAAAC
rnacentral:rRNA from 1 species